UACGUAGGCAGCAAGCGUUGUUCGGAAUCACUGGGCAUAAAGGGCGCGUAGGCGGCUUAUCAAGUCAGGGGUGAAAUCCGGCAGCUUAACUGUCGAAGUGCCCUUGAUACUGAUGAGCUCGAGGGAGAUAGGGGUGUGUGGAACUUCCGGUGGAGCGGUGAAAUGCGUUGAUAUCGGAAGGAACGCCGGUGGCGAAAGCGACACACUGGAUCUCUUCUGACGCUGAGGCGCGAAAGCCAGGGGAGCAAACGGG
rnacentral:rRNA from 1 species